CCUACGGGCGGCAGCAGUGGGGAAUAUUGCACAAUGGGGGAAACCCUGAUGCAGCGACGCCGCGUGAAGGAAGACGUAUUUCGGUAUGUAAACUUCUAUCAGCAGGGAAGAAAGUGACGGUACCUGACUAAGAAGCCCAGGCUAACUACGUGCCAGCAGCCGCGGUAAUACGCAGGGGGCAAGCGUUAUCCGGAUUUACUGGGUGUAAAGGGAGCGUAGGCGGAGUUGCAAGUCAGAAGUGAAAGCCCGGGGCUCAACUCCGGGACUGCUGUUGAAACUGUAUGGCUAGAUUGCAGGAGAGGCAAGUGGAAUGCCUGGUGUAGCGGUGAAAUGCGUAGAUAUUAGGAGGAACACCAGUGGCGAAGGCGGCUUGCUGGACUGUAAAUGACGCUGAGGCUCGAAAGCGUGGGGAGCGAACAGGAUUAGAUACCCGAGUAGUC
rnacentral:rRNA from 1 species